AAUUGCUUGUGCAAACUAAUAAGAGGACAGCAAAAACACCUCCAUUCAACCCAAAAAACUACAACGGAGUUAACCCAAUUUUAGCUCUUAAUUGGAUUACUAAUAGAUUGUAGAUAUAAGGAGGUUGGUAUGGUCUGCAAUUUGUAUUGGAAGUGGAUGAUGGGCAUUUAAUUGAACAAGUUGGAGGUGAUUCCGUAGUUUUGAUCCCAUGAAUAGAUUCUGUUUUGGUGCUUCCUACUCUCAGGUAAAGAUUAUUUUCCUCUUUGGUAUGGAAAUACGCUGUUUAAAAUGUUACUGAAAUAGGGGGUUCUGCAAAAUUCUUCUUCUUCUUUUUUCAGGGUUUAAUUGUGGGAUUCUAGUGGAUAGAGGUUAGUUUACCUACUUGGAGAUUGACGUACUCAUUCAUAUCGAGUAUUGGGUUUGAUUGGAUGAGUAAUCCCUGGGGAUCUUAUUAAGCUUCUUAGACUUGGGUUAUUUGGAGUAGUUGGUGUUUGGAGUGUUAAUCUUUUUGGUUAGUUAUUGUGUUGAAGAAUGUGAAGCCCUAUGUUUCAAAAAUUAAAGUUGCCUUGCCUGCUAGAAUUUGCAGGGUCUAGUUAAUUUCAUGCUGUAAUACAAAAAAGUUCUCUUGAAGGUUAUUUGACUUUAUUAAGUUAAUCUAUGCAAGCGCUUCUCCA
rnacentral:misc_RNA from 1 species